rnacentral:rRNA from 1 species
AGGUACAAACAAAUGUUUGUAUUCGCUCUAAGAAUUUUUUAUCUCGUGUAGUAGUAGUUAAGGUAAACUAGAACUAGCUUUAUAGAAUACACGUAGUCGAAACUGAAAGGUUGAUCGAUCACAAUGUGGCCUGAACAAAGCCCAUGACAAUAGUAGCAGCAGUGAGGAAUAUUGGUCAAUAGCCUAACGGCUGAACCAGCAACUUGGAAGAAUGUAAGGCAAUAGCCGACUGCAUAAUAUUAUUAAAUGUUUUUAUUUUAAUAUAAUGUAGUUACUACUAGGUAGUUUAAAUUUCUAGGUAGAAUUAUGAUGAUGACAUUAUCUAUCUAUAAGUCUUGACCAAAUUACGUGCCAGCAGUCGCGGUAAUACGUAGAAGACGAGUGUUAUUCAUCUUUAUUAGGUUUAAAGAGUACCAAGACGGUUAAUAAAGCCCAGAAUACAUGAACACGGGGGACUCAUUGACUAGAGUUAUAUGAAAGGAAGCUAUAAGGUACUGUUGAGUGUAGAGAUAAAAUUCUUUGAUACCAGAUAAGUGGCACAGAUUUAUGCGAAGGCAUCUUCUUAUGUAAUAACUGACGUUGUAGGACGAAGGCUUUUGAAGUGAACAGGAUUAGAUACCCUAGUAAUCUAAGCAGAAAAUGAUGAAUGUCAUAGGCUACUAGACUCGUAUUUAGAAAAGAUUGGAAAGGGUCUUUUCUACUAUUGAUGAAAAAUUCUUUAAAAAUACGAGAGUGGUCUAUAAAUGAAAGUGUAAGCAUUCCACCUCAAGAGUAAUUUGGCAACAUUGGAACUGAAAUCAUUAGACCGUUUCUGAAACCAGUAGUGAAGUAUGUUG